GAUGAAGAACGUAGCGAAAUGCGAUAAGUAAUGUGAAUUGCAGAAUUCAGUGAAUCAUCGAAUCUUUGAACGCACAUUGCGCCCGCCAGUUUUCUGGCGGGCAUGCCUGUUCGAGCGUCAUUUCAACCCUCAGGCCCCCAGUGCCUGGUGUUGGGGAUCGGCAGCAGGGCGUCAAGCCCGCCGGCCCCGAAAUCUAGUGGCGGUCUCGCUGUAGUCCUCCUCUGCGUAGUAGCACAACCUCGCAGUUGGAACGCGGCGGUGGCCAUGCCGUUAAACACCCCACUUCUGAAAGUUGACCUCGGAUCAGGUAGGAAUACCCGCUGAACUUAAGCAUAUCAAUAAGCGGAGGA
rnacentral:misc_RNA from 1 species